UACGUAGGGUGCAAGCGUUUAAUCGGAAUUACUGGGCGUAAAGCGUGCGCAGGCGGUUCGUUAAGUUCGAUGUGAAAGCCCCGGGCUCAACCUGGGAACUGCAUUGGAAACUGGCGAGCUUGAGUAUGGCAGAGGGGGGUGGAAUUCCGCGUGUAGCAGUGAAAUGCGUAGAGAUGCGGAGGAACACCGAUGGCGGAAGGCAGCCCCCCUGGGCCAAUACUGACGCUCAGGCACGAAAGCGUGGGGGAGCAAACAGG
rnacentral:rRNA from 1 species